GACAUGAGGGAGGGACGGAGGGAGGGACGGUGAUCGACCGAGGAGGUCAGGCGACGGCCAUGGCACGUCCAGAUGCGCCAGCGACUUCGUCGUCGAGCUGCGCCGCGCCGACCGGGAGAGUAGGAGUGAGGGGGACGGCCGCCUUCUCUCUCCGAACGCCGUGGCCCGCCUCCUCCUCUGCUCGAGCUGCAGCCAGCGACCACGGCACCUGACCCCACCUCUGUCUCCUUCUCCACAACCACCAGCCAUGGAAGGUCUCUUCUUCGUCAAGACCACCGUGUGCAUCUUCCCGGCACGCCGCUCAAUGUGCAUCUUCACGGCGCGCCGCUGCUCUGACGCCAUGGAGCGCCCCCAAUCUCCCUCUCUCUCAUGCUCUGGCUGUCAAGGCCGUCCAGCCGUUUUCAAGGGGUUUUGUUUAGGACAGCCACGAAGCACAAAGAACAAACAUGCUAUUUAAGCAAGAGGGUUUUCGUGGGGUUUUUGUUUAGGACAGCCAUGGAGCAGAAACAACAAACAUGUUACUUCAGCAAGAGGGAGAGUAAUGAUCCUGAUGAUACUCUUACCAUUUUGUUACCAAAAUGUGUGUCCUGUCAGUGCUUGCUGGAUGCUGCCUAGUCCUACUGGGUACUAUAGCUAAUUCUUUGCGUAUCUUCACAACUUUCAAGAGCUCUUUAGUCCUGCAAAAACAAGGUAAUAAGCUUGUUUUGCUACUGAUUGAAUGGCGUCUCAGUUUGUACCUCACCGAGCUCGCCGCCUAAAAUUGCUACGGGAUAGGCACUGUUUGGUUAGUGCUCCUAUUCUUGGUGGUCUUAUCCUAAUUAUUUGUUUGAUUUGGGGCAGCAGGGGCUCUUCAUCGACGACCAGGACCCCACGCCUGAGCAGUUGAUUGCCCCAUUUUAUUAAUCUUCUCCAUAUAUCCAGUUGAUUGCCUGCUACAUAUCCGCUUAAAUACUCAGAAUGCUACUGUCCAUGUUUUGUUCAAUUGGACUGACUAGAUAUCUCUUGUUAAAAUCGUGGUCUUGAUCUAUGAUACAGGGCAAAAUUGUAGGAACUUCAGUUGGAUUUAUAAUUGUUAAGACCCUAUAGUGUAAAUUAGACCUGGCCAAUCAAGUGAUCCCCUUGUAUAGUGAGAAUUCAGAAUGCAUUCAAUAAUCCAAAGUUUUGUAUUUCCUGGAUAACGAACAUUAAUGAUCUCUAGCUCUGACAUUCAUUCAUCUAGUUAUUAAGCGCAUAAAGGGUUUAUUUUUGUUGACCUAUAGUCUAGCUCACCAUUGACUGUUUCCCGACUUGAUGUUCAUGUUCUUCGCCCCGUGGCGGGAUCACAGUGGACAAACCGGAUGUUGAAAAGGUGGCAACUUUCUAUGGCAAUAGUUUGCUACCUUGCAACCUAGGAUUAUGCUGGUUUCUUCUAUGAUUUAUCAAAUUUCACUGCCCUGUUAUACUGCAGCUCUAUUAUCUUUGUAGUUGAACACCACUCCCAAAAAUCAAGUGUUACCAAUAAUAUCAAGAAUAGUCAAAGUUUAACAGCACAAAGACAUCCUAACACAAAGAUUUGGAACUGUAUUCUCUAGAAUACCAACAAAGUCCAUCUUGAAAAGAGUGAGCACAAAGGGCAUGAUUAUGAACAUAAUCACACAAUCUUUCCAUGGUUAUCAUCACAUAUGGCGCAGCAUGAAAUUGGGAUUCGACAUCUAAAGGACACUCAAAUUAGAUCUGGAGUGCUCAUCUAAUGCACAUACAUACAGUUGCUGCUCUUGAUGCAACUAUUGUUUGGGUUGCUUCUGGAAAUAAGAAAAUCUACAUUGCUUGGUUCUUUCUUAAUCUUGUGCAACUGCAUUUCCUGGUAUUCCCUUUUUGGCAUGCUUAGUGUUGUGUGGGUCCAUGUUGCCAUGUCGAACAGACUUUGAUCCUUAAAAAUUUAUCGAGUUCCACUUUAUUUCUUAGAAGUCAUGGUCUCCAUAAACCAUAAUAAGGCCUACUCCUUUUCAUCUAUUAGCAAACAUAACUUUGUUUCAAACAUGCUAUGUUAUCUGCAUCGGUUCAUGUAUAAAAAUAGUUUUCCUUCUGCAUUCGUCGGCAUGGACUGCUUCACAUAUAAGAACAAUCAAUCAUACCUUUUGGUUGGUUGUGCAAGGAAAGAAGUCAAUGAAUGAGAAGUUAUUCUCCUAAUUUUCUCACCUACUAUAAUCCAAGGUCAUGUUUUACUUGAUUGGUCAUCGCAUCAACAUUUCUUACUGCCCAAUCUGUUUCUCAGAUAUGAUUCAAUUUUAUGAAAUCCAGUGUCUUUGCUUCAGUGAUAGUUAAGUGACAUGUCAAUUUGUAGGCCCAACUUGUUGAUGUGCCUGAGCACUUAUAUUUCUUUCAUUGGUUCAUCCAUGCCUUGUUGACUUCCCUUUUAUUUUCCUUUGUUUAAUCCCUAACUUGCUGUUUUACCUUCUGUAAUGCAGGUUGCACUAGACCUGCGGAGGGGUUUAUCUGGUUCUUAUGGUCUGCUGCAUGCCUGGAGGUGUCUCUGGCACAGCUGUGCCUCUUGAGGCGACCUCCUCUACCGCGGUGGUUGUGUGCGGCAUCAGCUACAACCUCUCCGGUACCAAAUUGGCAUCCGUUAUGCUGGCAUUGCACGCAUGGCGUUGGCCCUCUCCUUGAAGUUCAGUGCUGUACCAAUCGUCGUGCCAGUCUGGGUUUGAGAUUCUGAUAUCGAUGUGGAGCUGUGGGUUAAACUAAGGUUUAUUUGGACAGAACCGUGCGUGGGGGAGCCGUGUCUUGGCAUUUGUGUCACUUCCGAAGAUAAAGUUAGAGCUGUCGCUGUUCCGGCUUUUUUAUGGCAAUUCCUCUUCUGUCAAUAUUUCUCACGAAACUUCUAACGGAAGAUCUGGCCGCGUCUCUCUGUCCGGCCCAAAAAGAUUGUCCUUUGGCGGCUCCUCUUGGUCGCCUCCCGUGCUUAAACGCACGGAUCCGCCUCCUGGAUGGUGCUCCUGCGCCUGGUGAUCAUGGGGUGCAUGCGCCUCCUUUGGUGGCUUCCUCCAUCGCGUGACUGUGGCGGUUGUGCAGGGCAUCAGCCACAAACUAAUCUGGUUCCAUGUCAUGGAAUGGAUGGAUGAUGGUGAGCGACCACCAAUGGAUCUGGCCGAAUACAAUACGCCUUGCCGGUCUAGAGAGUCCUUGGAGAUCUUGCGAGGAGGUGGCCCAAUUGGUUGAAGGCAGGGGGGAACUCGCUUGACGUGUCUCAGCAAUCAACAGAUAGAACUUGUGCUGUCUACACAGGUUGAAAUACAAGGAGGCCUAGGCCAGCGAAUCUUGAAGAUAACAGAUAGGCGUUUUCGUGUUUUUCUUUUCCGUCGGGGAGUUGUGAAAAAUUGGAUGGAAUGGUGAUAUAUGUUGAAAGGUCUCGUCUCAGGGAGGGAUUGCUACUGCUACAUACAUAGUGUUGUAAAAUUUGGAUUGUUUUUUUGGUCAGUGCAUGUCAAGAGAUUGGACUGGUUGAAUGAAUCAAAUGGUUAACUCUCCAUGAAUGAGGGAAUGCAUGAAUGCCAGCUCGUUCAUUCAUUUACCGAGUAUUUA